rnacentral:lncRNA from 1 species
CUGAGACUCUGGUCGCUCGUGCAGAACUCCAGAACAACCCAGGGGAGGUUUCUGCUGCACCCGCUGGGUGCUCUGUGGGUCUCCCACCGGGAUUGCAGCGUGCCUGAACUGAAGCUCUUUGCCAUUGAAUUCCCUUACCAUCUCCUUGGUUCAUGGACUUGGCACUUUGAGAUCAGUUUACCCGGGGAACCAAGCGAUCACGCUGCGCGAGGUUCCACCAUGCCUUCCUUCACGGCGCUGUCUGCGGGGUGGGUGUCGAGCAGCAUAACGGUAAAGGCUGGCCAGGAUUGUCAAGAGCAGUCGGGAACCUGGGAGGAGACUGAAGUAGUUGGUCUUGCUGCUCAUUUUCUCUGGCCAG